AAACACCGGAUGUUUCGAUUACCGAAGUCAAGCAUCGUCGUGCUCGGUCAGUACUUAGUUGGGGGACCGCUUGGAAACACUAGGUACUGUAAG